rnacentral:rRNA from 1 species
CAGCAGCCGCGGUAAUACAGAGGGUGCAAGCGUUAAUCGGAAUUACUGGGCGUAAAGGGCGCGUAGGUGGUUGCGUAAGUGAGAUGUGAAAUCCCCGGGCUUAACCUGGGACGUGCAUCUUAUACUGCGUAACUGGAGUGCAAGAGAGGGUAGUGGAAUUUCCGGUGUAGCGGUGAAAUGCGUAGAGAUCUGGAGGAAUACCGGUGGCGAAGGCGGCCCCCUGGACAAAGACUGACGCUCAGGUGCGAAAGCGUGGGGAGCAAACAGGAUUAGAUACCCGCGUAGUCCCUGUCUCUUAUAC